GUAUUUUUCAGCUCGGACAAAUCCUCUUUGACACCUCUGGCAGUGGGAGUUGAAGAAGACGACGAUGGCGAGGAGGGAGAAUCUGUUUGAUGGUAUUGAUUAGAUACGGAAUCGGAUUUGAGGGGUGAUUUGGGGUUGGCAACAGCAUUCUCUUCGUCUUCAUCGUCAUCAUCAAGCUUCAAUGAAUUUGCAAUGGAUCUGGCCAGCCAGGCCAUGGUAUAAUCUCAAUGCAG
rnacentral:misc_RNA from 1 species